rnacentral:tRNA from 1 species
GGGCCCGUAGCGUAGCUGGUAGCGCGCUUCCAUGGCAUGGAAGAGGUCAGGAGUUCGAAUCUCCUCGGGUCCA